GCCUCUUUGGCUAAGGGGUACAGCGUCGCACUUGUACUACAUUCGUGUGAUAAUGCGCGAGUUGGGAUGAAUGCGAAGAUCAAGAGUUCAAAUCUCUUAGGAGGCA
rfam:Tilletiaria anomala TBC 951 K437scaffold_2, whole genome shotgun sequence.